UGAGCAACCCAGCUCUCCAACAGAGCCACAUGUAGAGGAGAAUGAGGGCAGAAUUUAGAUUAACGAAGGAAUGUGACGUUUGCUGGAGUGAACCUGACAGGAUCGCAACAUACAAGCCGACUGAUUCUAACUCUGACAGCAGCAGGCAGCUGUUUUCAGCACGAAAGCCUCCAGCUGCUAGCCUCAGGCAGAGAUGAGGAGCAGGCUACAGCGGCCUGGCGUGGCACUCCAGCCCUCUUGCUCAGCUGAUGUCCUGCAGCGUUCUAGACUUGAGGCUCAUCCCUGCAGUCAACCUUUUUAAUAACACUCCAGCUCGACUUCAGAUCGUCCGUUAACCCACCGUGAUCCCAGCCCCGGGUGUGUGGACACUGCUACAUUAAGUUUGUCAAUAAAUCUACCUUGAGUUUUUAACUAA